UACGUAGGGGGCGAGCGUUGUCCGGAGUUACUGGGCGUAAAGCGCACGCAGGCGGUCUGUGAAGUUUGGAGUGACAGUUGGUGGCUCAACCACCAAAGUGCUUUGAAAACUGACAGACUUGAGGGCUUCAGAGGGACACGGAAUUCCGGGUGGAGUGGUGAAAUGCGUAGAGAUCCGGAGGAACACCAAAGGCGAAGGCAGUGUCCUGGGGAGUACCUGACGCUCGAGGUGCGAAAGCCAGGGGAGCGAAC
rnacentral:rRNA from 1 species